rnacentral:rRNA from 1 species
UACGUAGGGUGCAAGCGUUAUUCGGAAUUACUGGGCGUAAAGCGUGCGCAGGCGGUUUUGUAAGACUGUCGUGAAAGCCCCGGGCUUAACCUGGGAAUGGCGAUGGUGACUGCAAGGCUAGAGUUUGGCAGAGGGGGGUAGAAUUCCACGUGUAGCAGUGAAAUGCGUAGAGAUGUGGAGGAACACCGAUGGCGAAGGCAGCCCCCUGGGUCAAAACUGACGCUCAUGCACGAAAGCGUGGGGAGCAAACAGG